rnacentral:rRNA from 1 species
GAUGAACGCUGGCGGCGUGCCUAAUACAUGCAAGUCGAGCGAAUGGAUUAAGAGCUUGCUCUUAUGAAGUUAGCGGCGGACGGGUGAGUAACACGUGGGUAACCUGCCCAUAAGACUGGGAUAACUCCGGGAAACCGGGGCUAAUACCGGAUAACAUUUUGAACCGCAUGGUUCGAAAUUGAAUGGCGGCUUCGGCUGUCACUUAUGGAUGGACCCGGGUCGCAUUAGCUAGUUGGUGAGGUAACGGCUAACCAAGGCAACGAUGCGUAGCCGACCUGAGAGGGUGAUCGGCCACACUGGGACUGAGACACGGCCCAGACUCCUACGGGAGGCAGCAGUAGGGAAUCUUCCGCAAUGGACGAAAGUCUGACGGAGCAACGCCGCGUGAGUGAUGAAGGCUUUCGGGUCGUAAAACUCUGUUGUUAGGGAAGAACAAGUGCUAGUUGAAUAAGCUGGCACCUUGACGGUACCUAACCAGAAAGCCACGGCUAACUACGUGCCAGCCGCCGCUGUAA